rnacentral:rRNA from 1 species
UACGUAGGGGGCGAGCGUUGUCCGGAAUUACUGGGCGUAAAGGGUGCGUAGGCGGCACGGUAAGUUGGAUGUGAAAUACCCGGGCUUAACUUGGGGGCUGCAUCCAAAACUGCUGAGCUUGAGUGCGGGAGAGGAAAGCGGAAUUCCUAGUGUAGCGGUAAAAUGCGUAGAUAUUAGGAGGAACACCGGUGGCGAAGGCGGCUUUCUGGACCGUAACUGACGCUGAGGCACGAAAGCGUGGGGAG